AGACAGGGGGGCCUGCAGAAGCCUUGAUCUCCAAGUGGUCUGUGGCUGUGAGGUGGAGAGAUACAACUGCUUUGUCGAGGACCCAAGGGAAAACCGAGCUGUGGCUGUCUGAGUCUUAUCAAAGGAAAAAUGAUUGGUGCCUGGCACAUUAUGGGCCCUCAAUGUCUACCAGUUGGGUGACUGAAAGUGACUGGGGCAUCUGCCUGUCAUGGGUAUGAAAGCCAGCUUCACCAUUCUCUACCAGCUUGCUCCAGGUCUCUCAGGCUGCCCUCACCCCUGGGGGAAGGGGGGGAUGAAUUUGGCAGAGCUGGCCUCAGGAGGUGGAUGGCCUUGCUUCAGAGGCUGUCAAAACUCUUUCUACUGCUCAAUCAUCUUCCUGGGAAAAAAUAUCAGAUGGCAGGAUCAAGAGGGAGCAGUGUUGCCUGGACAGUGUGGGAAGUAAAUGGCACAGUAUGGGAUUAAAGAGGGAUAUUUGCCCCAUCCCGGAAAGAGAAAGAGCUAAGAGAAAGGGGGAGGAAAGAAACAGGACUUAAAACAGCCCCCAAGUCCAAACAACUAAAACAGCGAUCGCUAUACUUCAAAGCCAGCACAAAUUAGACUAAGCGGCCGCAGAAGCCAAAUGGAAAUCGUAAUUCUUCCAGUCCCUUGCUGCUCAGACACAUGUAAUAGGUUUGGCAGAGAGUCAAGGAAAACAGGGGCCAAGC